ACGAAGGGGGCGAGCGUUGUUCGGAUUUACUGGGCGUAAAGGGCGCGUAGGCGGCCUUGUCAGUCAGGCGUGAAAGCCCCGGGCUCAACCUGGGAGGUGCGCUUGGGACGGCGAGGCUGGAGUUCGGGAGAGGAGAGUGGAAUUCCCAGUGUAGAGGUGAAAUUCGUAGAUAUUGGGAAGAACACCGGUGGCGAAGGCGGCUCUCUGGACAACACUGACGCUGAAGCACGAAAGCGUGGGGAGCAAACAGGA
rnacentral:rRNA from 1 species